rnacentral:rRNA from 1 species
GCCAGCUUGCUGGGUGGAUCAGUGGCGAACGGGUGAGUAACACGUGAGCAACCUGCCCUGGACUCUGGGAUAAGCGCUGGAAACGGCGUCUAAUACUGGAUAUGAGCCUUCACCGCAUGGUGGGGGUUGGAAAGAUUUUUCGGUCUGGGAUGGGCUCGCGGCCUAUCAGCUUGUUGGUGAGGUAAUGGCUCACCAAGGCGUCGACGGGUAGCCGGCCUGAGAGGGUGACCGGCCACACUGGGACUGAGACACGGCCCAGACUCCUACGGGAGGCAGCAGUGGGGAAUAUUGCACAAUGGGCGGAAGCCUGAUGCAGCAACGCCGCGUGAGGGAUGACGGCCUUCGGGUUGUAAACCUCUUUUAGCAAGGAAGAAGCGAAAGUGACGGUACUUGCAGAAAAAGCGCCGGCUAACUACGUGCCAGCAGCCGCGGUAAUACGUAGGGCGCAAGCGUUAUCCGGAAUUAUUGGGCGUAAAGAGCUCGUAGGCGGUUUGUCGCGUCUGCUGUGAAAUCCCGAGGCUCAACCUCGGGCCUGCAGUGGGUACGGGCAGACUAGAGUGCGGUAGGGGAGAUUGGAAUUCCUGGUGUAGCGGUGGAAUGCGCAGAUAUCAGGAGGAACACCGAUGGCGAAGGCAGAUCUCUGGGCCGUAACUGACGCUGAGGAGCGAAAGGGUGGGGAGCAAACAGGCUUAGAUACCCUGGUAGUCCACCCCGUAAACGUUGGGAACUAGUUGUGGGGUCCUUUCCACG